UGCUACCUAAGUGGACAGUUUGAUUUCACAGAAGUGUGAUUGACUUGGAGUUACAUUGUGUUGUUUAAGUGUUCCCUUUAUUUUUUUGAGCAGUGUAUAUAUUAGAGUGCAGCCGUAUUAGUCCAGUGAUGCAGAUGUAAAAAAGCAGAUAAAAAUUUGUAUCUUGUAACAUUAUUGGACUAACAAGAUUUUUAAUGACAAGUCUAAAGCAUUUCUGAGCAAGACAACAUAUAUAAUUCAACUUUGAAUUCUAU